CAGCUCACGGCCAGGCACAGAGUAAGCAUCAGUAGCAUUGGCAAGUUGAACUGAGCUGUCUCUUGCCCUUGUCCCUAG
ensembl:miRNA